rnacentral:lncRNA from 1 species
CUGCAGCUGCCUUAUGGUUUGUGCUAGGAGGAGAUAUGGAUAGGAGCUAAAAGAGAGGGGUUUUUAAAAGCAAACGAAGCAAAACACUUUAUCAGGUAAAGAAAAGGCAUCCACAUUUGCCUUGCUUCCAGCAGCCAGUUGUCCCUUGUUUCUAAUGAAUGUGUCACACAAAGAAAAGACACAAUCACAGCCAACACUUGCUUCUGCAAACUGGCAAUGUCUGCAGCUAAAUUCGAAUUAAAAAAAAAAGUUAGAAGAGUAUUGAGAAAAGUAAAGAAAAAAGAAAUUGCAUUUAGAUUUCGGCUAAUUUUGUUUUUGCAUUUUUAGUAGAGAUGGGGUUUCACCGUGUUAGCCAGGAUGGUCUCAAUCUCCUGACCUCGUGAUCCACCUGCCAUUUUGAUGUUGAAAUAUUAAAUGGGGACAGUCUUUCACUAAAUGCUUCGAAGUUAUGGCCCUUAUUUUUAUUGCAUUAACUGGCUCUGGAGCAUACAAUUUUGAACUUGGUUGUUUUCUCUGCUGUUUCUCACCAUCCCGAGUCCCACCGGCUAGGGAGCUGGAAUUCCUGGUGUUCUCACACCACUGUGUACAGUUGUGCAGUGCACAACCUCCAUGGCAGUUCUACAUUAACUAAGAUUUGGAGAGGAGGUUAGAGAGGAAAUAAAUGCUAUCAUUCUAUCAACACCUACAAACUGUUAUAAUAGAUCCGUAUUGGAUCCCCAAACAAACCCAAUCCUGGGUUGCAGAAUCUGUACUUUGCCUUACAUAUUGGACCAGAGUGUAACUGUGUAAUAGAAGGUUUACGGUAGUGACCACAUAUUUUUCCUUGCAAUAUUCUGUUCAUUCGUGUGUAUGUUGUAAGGAUCACUGAGUCUUUCUAACUCAAAUUUAAAGCAUUAUGUGUGAAUGUAGUUGGGAUGUAGGGUAAAGUGAGCUAAUGAUUGAAAUAACCCAGCCUGUUCCUUUUACCAAAUUUGGGGCAAGAGUAAAGUGGAGACUCCUAGACCUUGCCUUCUGUGGCAAGGAAGACUCUUU